rnacentral:lncRNA from 1 species
GGCUGGAGAGACGGCUCAACCGUUAAAGGCUAGGCUCACAACCAAAAAUAUAAGUGUAAGGGUCCUGUUAGAGAUCCCGCUCCAAACCAACACUGUGUGCAGGACUGUGGAGGUGAAUGGGUGCUGCCAGUGAAUUAAAUAGUUUUUGCUUGUUUAUUUACCUAACAGCUUGUAGUAGAUAUUUUGAGUCUAGGACCAGUGAGAAUAGAGUGUGAGAAAAAUGCCACAAGAUGUGACAUUUGCCUUAUAAUGUGUGACUGUUUGUCAUUUGUGUGUCACUCUUGUGAGGGGGAAAAAUGGCCCAGAAACGUUAAGUCCAGAGUGGUGCUAUCUUUCUUCUGAACAACUGUUACAUUCUAAUGUGUGUAAACUUAUUUAGAUGGCUACACCAAAACAAGACAGCUGAUACUAACUUAAAUUGGAAAUUGCCUCAUUAGUGAGUCAAUUCAUGAUUACUCAGUCACCUGAGUAAGACUGGGCUUGUCCCCGAUUGCAGCAAGAUCCCCCAACAUCCUGACAUCACCUGAAAUUGGUGCUCGCUCUUUUUCACUUUGAUUUAACUAGAAGUAACUUGAUGAAGGUUAGCAUGCGUUAGGAGACAAGCCUGGGCUGCCAGCUCUUCAUUCUUCUUCACUGUCUGGAGCGGUUCCCAGGCUGGGAGCAGUGAAGGUUGGUUGCUGUGAAGAGCCAGUGGGUGAUCUUUAUGUUUUUCAAUGAUGAAAUGUCUCCAUCUAGUGGAAUUUCAGAGCAGUAAACACUCACUAUUAAAAUGAAGGUAAAGCCUUUUUCUUAAACACAUGGUGGUCAGUAUAACUUCCAAUAUGCAUUUAGAUGCUAGACUUACAACUACAUAUAUUUCUGUGGGGCUAGAAAUGGGAACAGUGCUGACUUAAAAUGUUAACUUGGUUUUCUCCUUGGGGGUGGGGAUGGGCUCCUGGCCUUGUGUGCACUAGGCAGGCACGCGGCCACAAAGCAUCUACGUCAUGAGAUGUACAAGGCAGAGGCACACAUGCACACAUGCACGAAUGGUAGCUAAGAGAGAUGUUCACUUGACAAAGGACAUGGCUCUCCUUGGGGGAGUUUUGUCUAUGUAAAUUCUUUGAUGUGUAUAAAUAUUUCAAAUAAGAAUAUGGACACAAUGUGAUUAUAAUUAAACAGUUUUCUGGGUAAGAGAACUACAGUAUCACUCUCAUGGUUGAUCUGUUAGUUUAAUAAGGUUAAAAAGGAAAGAUGCUAGGAGUUUCUUUGUUUGUUUGUUGUCUCACUAUGUAGCCCUGACUGUCCUGGAUCCCACUUUGUAGACCAGGCUGGCUUUGAACUCAUUGAGAUUCACCUGGCUCUAUUUCCAAGUGCUUGGACUAAAUGUGUGCUCUAACACCCCUAACCAAGAAAUAGGUUUUAUAAUCCCUCAAAAUUAGAGAGAUAGCUCAGGAGUUAAGAGUGUGCUGCCAGCACCCACAUCAAUAAGCUCAUAACCAUCUGUAGCUCCAGCAGGAUAGAGGUCUCUGGUAUCCAAGGGCACCUCCACUCCUCUGCACAUUACUGCAUAGAGAGGCACACAUGCCUACACAUAAUUUUUUAAUAUAAUUUUUUAAAACUUAUAUUAGCACUUUGGGUGUGUGUGUGUGUAUGUGUGUGUUUUCUACUGUUAUUUAUCUCAUAGCCACACCCACUUGGAUGAGUUCCCAUUUUAUUCUUUUAUUCUGUGACUUUCUAAAGCCCCACCAGAUGUCACUGGUCCUUGGUACCCCUGCUCAGAAGUUUUUUCUGUAGGGAACCUGAAGGAGGGAGGACUCUGGCUUAACAGGAGGCCAGGGUGUCUACCUAAUGUUGACCUGGGGAAGGUCUUCCCAGCCCAAAAUCAGUACGUUUUCUUCCCUGACUGAGCAUCAACAGAGCCCAGCCAAAGACAAUUUU